rnacentral:rRNA from 1 species
GUCCACGCCGUAAACUAUGGAUACUAGCUGUAGGAGGUAUCGACCCCUUCUGUAGCGAAGCUAACGCGUUAAGUAUCCCGCCUGUGGAGUACGGUCGCAAGACUAAAACAUAAAGGAAUUGACGGGGACCCGCACAAGCGGUGGAUUGUGUUCUUUAAUUCGAUGAUAAACGACGAACCUUACCAGGGCUUGACAUCCCUUAAAAUUUUGCCGAAAGGCGAGAGUGCUUUAUUGAAUAAGGUGACAGGUGAUGCGUGGCCGUCGU